AUACGGAGGGUGCAAGCGUUAUUCGGAUUUACUGGGCGUAAAGGGCGCGUAGGCGGAUAGAUAAGUCAGUCGUGAAAGCCCGGGGCUCAACCCCGGAAGUGCGAUUGAAACUAUUUGGCUUGAGUAUGGUAGAGGGAAGUGGAAUUCCUGGUGUAGCGGUGAAAUGCGUAGAUAUCAGGAGGAACACCGGUGGCGAAGGCGACUUCCUGGACCAAUACUGACGCUGAGGCGCGAAGGUGUGGGUAGC
rnacentral:rRNA from 1 species